rnacentral:rRNA from 1 species
AACGAACGCUGGCGGCAGGCCUAACACAUGCAAGUCGAACGGGUGUAGCAAUACAUCAGUGGCAGACGGGUGAGUAACGCGUGGGAAUCUCCCCAGAGGUACGGAACAACUCAGGGAAACUUGAGCUAAUACCGUAUGUGCCCGAGAGGGCAAAGAUUCAUCGCCUUUGGAUGAGCCCGCGUUGGAUUAGCUAGUUGGUGGGGUAACGGCCUACCAAGGCUACGAUCCAUAGCUGAUCUGAGAGGAUGAUCAGCCACACUGGGACUGAGACACGGCCCAGACUCCUACGGGAGGCAGCAGUGGGGAAUCUUGGACAAUGGGCGCAAGCCUGAUCCAGCCAUGCCGCGUGAGUGAAGAAGGCCUUAGGGUUGUAAAGCUCUUUUACCCCGGGAAGAUAAUGACGGUACCGGGAGAAUAAGCCCCGGCAAACUUCGUGCCAGCCGCCGCCGUAAU